GGAAGCAUAGCUCAGCAGGGAGAGCACUUGCCUUACAAGCAAGGGGUCGCAGGUUCAAGUCCUGUUGCUUCCACCA
rnacentral:tRNA from 1 species